AAAACAGAGAGAGAUACAGAGACGGCUUCUCUCUCUCGACUGAUCGGCCAAACCAUCGUUAGUUGCUUUGUUUAUACUCUCUUCUAACCUUUUACUUUCCGUUUUCCGAUUUCUUUCAUGUCAUUCUAAUGCUUAAUCAGUAGAAAAUUUUGAUCCAUUCGAUAGAUGUAUUGUUUAUUGUCAAUCAGUGGAUUUCAAGUAUAGAUACACUGGUUCGAGAUUAAUUAGGGUUAUCACUUUUGAAAUUUUUUGAUUCCGAUAACAAACCCUAGUUUUAAUGGCUACAUCUACUAUUAACCAUCAUUCUCACUGGAAUGCUGCCGCUGACACUGCUCCACAGCAGUCUAGCCGACCAGAAGAAGCCGCGCGUGGUGUUUACUCGCCCUGGGCUCAGAUUGGUCAAUCGGAAUCCAAUAUACAAGUAGUUCACUUCUCUGAUUGUUCGCUUUCUGAACAAGUGGACGGUUGUGCGUUUGAGAGUGACACUAAUAGCAAUGGGGCUAAAAAGACAGUUUGGAAUAAGCCCUCAAAUGGUACAGCUGAUGUUAGUCCUGUUAUGG
rnacentral:misc_RNA from 1 species